rnacentral:rRNA from 1 species
UUACCUACGGGAGGCAGCAGGGGGGAAUAUUGGGCAAUGGGCGCAAGCCUGACCCAGCAACGCCGCGUGAAGGAAGAAGGCCCUCGGGGUGUAAACUUCUUUUAUCAGGGACGAAACAAAUGACGGUACCUGAUGAAUAAGCCACGGCUAACUACGUGCCAGCAGCCGCGGUAAUACGUAGGUGGCAAGCGUUAUCCGGAUUUACUGGGUGUAAAGGGCGGGUAGGCGGG